rnacentral:rRNA from 1 species
UACGUAGGUGGCAAGCGUUAAUCGGAAUUACUGGGCGUAAAGGGCGCGUAGGCGGCCUGUUAAGUCGAACGUGAAAUCCCCGGGCUCAACCCGGGAACUGCGUCCGAUACUGGCAGGCUUGAAUCCGGGAGAGGGAUGUGGAAUUCCAGGUGUAGCGGUGAAAUGCGUAGAUAUCUGGAGGAACACCGGUGGCGAAGGCGGCAUCCUGGACCGGUAUUGACGCUGAGGCGCGAAAGCCAGGGGAGCAAACGGG